AUUAAUAUUCGUUUGGGUUUUUGAUUUCACGUGAAAAAAAAAGCUUUGUAAAGCCCAUCUGAAAAAAGAGCAAGUCGCGUGUUUUCUGUUUCAAGGGUUGAACCCUUAUUCUUCUCUGCCGUCGUGAUGUAGUCUCAAACUCUAGGGUUUUGAUUCAUCUUCUUCCUCCAACCCUGAUAUUUACCAGUUUCAGAUUCAUCUUCUUAAAGUCCUCCUUGAUUCUAUUAUCCACGAUCUACAUUUAUUGUUUGCUUCGCUCUUGCAAACGGUGGAAACCUCAGUAUAUAAAGUCUGGAAGAUGUUCUUCCACAAGUGAGAUGAGGUUGUUUCGUUUCUAUGAGGCGAAGAAUAUUGGGAGGCGAGCCUAUGGGCGUUUACAUACUCCACCUCGGCGUUAAGGUUCCAAUGAUUUGUAUGGUGCAUCAUGAAGAUCUGAUAAGUUUAAACAUUCUAUGUCAAUAAAAUCAGCCAGAGAAUUGUUGCCCUUGGUCGUUCUGCUUCUGAUUGCAAUCCGUCAUGCCAUCUUUGAAGUCUCCAAGUUUGUCUGUUUCAUGGUGAAGCUCAACAUCUUUUUACAGAUAUGCCAAAGGGAGAGUUGAAAAAGUAUCAUCUCUCUCCUGAAUCCCUCUUUUAUUCUCCUAUUUUGCUUUGGUGAAAACAACAGUGAAAGACUUACAUUCUUAUUUUUCGCUUAUGGCUUAUUUAAAGCUUAUGAAGGAUUAGAAUUUUCAAGGACCGGAAGCACUGCAGUAAAAACGGUUUUUGAUUAGAACUUCUGCCAGCUUGAUAAACAACCAAGCUUGAUUGUAUUGUAUGUGUAUCUUAUCGAAUUUUGUUAAACAGAAAUAUCUCUAUUGUAAAAGUCUUUUUGUAUGUU